CCUACGGGUGGCAGCAGUGGGGAAUAUUGCACAAUGGGGGAAACUCUGAUGCAGCGACGUCGCGUGAGCGAUGAAGUAUUUCGGUAUGUAAAGCUCCAUUAGUAGGGAAGAAAAUGACGGUACCUGACUAAGAAGCCCCGGCUAACUACGUGCCAGCAGCCGUGGCAAUACGUAGGGGGCAAGCGUUAUCCGGAUUUACUGGGUGUAAAGGGAGCGUAGACGGUCCUGCAAGCCAGUUGUGAAAGCCGGGGGCUCAACCCCGGGACUGCAAUUGGAACUGUAAGGCUUGAGUGUCGGGGAGGCAGGCGGAAUUCGUGGUGUAGCGGUGAAAUGCGUAGAUAUUAGGAAGAACACCGGUGGCGAAGGCAGCCUACUGAACGGUGACUGACAUUGAGGCUCGAAAGCGUGGGGAGCAAACAGGAUUAGAUACCCUUGUAGUC
rnacentral:rRNA from 1 species